GACAGAGGGUGCAAACGUUGUUCGGAAUUACUGGGCGUAAAGCGCGUGUAGGCGGCCCUGCAAGUCGGGUGUGAAAUCCCACGGCUCAACCGUGGAAGUGCACUCGAAACUGCAGGGCUAGAGUCCUGGAGAGGAAGGUGGAAUGCUUGGUGUAGAGGUGAAAUUCGUAGAUAUCAAGCGGAACACCGGUGGCGAAGGCGGCCUUCUGGACAGUGACUGACGCUGAGACGGCGAAAGCGUGGGGAGCAAACAGGA
rnacentral:rRNA from 1 species